UGAUGAUGAACUUAGAUAUUGUUUUUAAUUUAUGAACCAUUAAAGGAAGAACCAGGGGUUAUCUUGAUCCAUAUGAAAAUGUGAUUUGUACCGAAUGUGUACACACCAGGUUUUGUUUUCUUUAGCCAAUCUGAUUUGAAAACUUUGGAGCUAUGAUGCGUAAGCUAAGAUGAAAGGCUAUGAUGGUUGCUUGAGCCUCUGUAGUUAGCACAGAAACUCUGUAUAUGAGGUGCUUGAUGGAAUGCUUUAAAGUUGUGUUGAUUGUUGUAUUUUGAGGGUAAAUCGAAGAUCCAGGUAGCAUCUUGGCGGGGCAAGCUCCAAAUGGCAUAGUUUUCACUAUGCAACUAUGUAUUUGCAGCCAUGUUGUUACCAGGGUCUUAUAUGUGUUCAUCCCUCGAUUACAUAUCUGAGCCUUUUAAGGUUGUUUUGAUAAACAAAGGGUUGUGUUUUAGGGUACAUCGAGCAUCCGAGUAGCAUGUUGGCGAGGCAACAUCCAGAUGGCAUAGUGCUCACUUUGCAACUGUGUGUUUGUAGCUAUGGCGUAACCCAUUCUUAUAUGCGUUCAUCCCUCGAAUACAUAUUUGAGCUUUCAAAGUUUCAACGCACAAACACAUUCACAUCUUAGUAACCUUUUUUUGGCAGUGGGUAUGUGAUAUCAGUAUUGUAUCUACUUCUGGGCUAUGAUGAUGUGUUUUGUUUGAAGAAACUAAGAUUUUAGUGUUUAUUGGCGUGGCAUAUGAGGUCUUUAACCUCUUAGUGUGCAGCCAACACGUGUAAUUUCUGUUUCUUCAACAUGUCUAAGCCUGUAUAACUAUACUAUUGCUGGUGUGCAACGUGUGAAGGAACACUUGACUCUUUAAUUGAAGAGAGCUUAUGUUCUUCUGGUAAUGAUGGUGUUGAGUGGUAAUGGACUAAGCAAGGCGUCAGAGAGGGUUUCGGUCGAGUUGAACUUCCGGCGACCUAACCUAGGGUUCCGACAAAGUUCCGAUGAACCUCCACCAACCAGCGAACCUCCAUUUCUUAGCGAACGGAAUGCAUCUGUAUAGUCAUAUCUUAUAUUUUUUCUCGCUUUGCCUCAUUAAGCUAAGCUUCUUCAAGUUCCGUUUUGUAUUUCUCAGUUUCAUUUUUAAUUUCAAUGAUGUUAUUGGUGAGUUUGUGCCCAAUUUUGAAUAUGGGUUUAUUGCCUAUUAUAAUCUAGAUUACUAUCAUGAUGGAUUCAAUGUAAGCAUGCAACUAUCUUAUGUUCUUUACAUUACGAUGAAUCAAGUAACAAGCUUUGAAUUUA